GCCUGGCUAGCUCAAUCGGUAGAGCGUGAGACUCUUACUUAAAAGUGAUCUCAAGGCUGUGGGUUCAAGCCCCACGUCGGGCU
rnacentral:tRNA from 2 species